UCCAGACUCCUACGGGAGGCAGCAGUGGGGGAUAUUGCACAAUGGGGGAAACCCUGAUGCAGCGACGCCGCGUGGGCGAAGAAGUAUUUCGGUAUGUAAAGCCCUAUCAGCAGGGAAGAAGAAAUGACGGUACCUGAGUAAGAAGCCCCGGCUAACUACGUGCCAGCAGCCGCGGUAAUACGUAGGGGGCAAGCGUUAUCCGGAUUCACUGGGUGUAAAGGGAGCGUAGACGGCGACGCAAGUCUGGAGUGAAAGCCCGGGGCCCAACCCCGGGACUGCUCUGGAAACUGCGUCGCUGGAGUACGGGAGGGGCAGGCGGAAUUCCUGGUGUAGCGGUGAAAUGCGUAGAUAUCAGGAGGAACACCGGCGGCGAAGGCGGCCUGCUGGACCGUGACUGACGUUGAGGCUCGAGAGCGUGGGGAGCAAACAGGAUUAGAUACCCUAGUAC
rnacentral:rRNA from 1 species